CUGCGCGAUAGCGAGCAGUAGUUUUCCUACUCUAGCUUUUGUUGUCAGCUAGUUUGCAGCUGAUUCAGCAGGUGUUAUCAAAGAGGAUGUUGCUAAUUUAUUAGCGUCUCCCUUUUCAAGAAUACAUUUCAAAUGUCCAUCUGGCAGUUGCAACAGCGACUUUGGAUCAUUAGAACACAUUCACCUAAACCCACAAAAUACCCUUGGAAUGGAUUUCUGCAAAUAUAUAAACACCACGGGAGUCCUCUUACAUUUGGGAACUUUACAGUCCUAUUGAUCAAACAGCCAUGAAAAAAAGGUAGGCUCUCUCUCCCUUAGUUAUACACAUAACAAUAUCAACUAAUGCUAGCUAUAGCAAGAUGAGCUAAAAUCUAACAAAGGAACAUGAAAUAAACAAACUUGCAAAUUGCACUGAUACAUGACAGGGAAUUGUAGCCUCAUCCUUCUGCAGCUUGCCUACCAAUGCAUGCUUGUCCCAACCAAGCACCCAACUAACUGGCUAAAGUUGGCUAGCUACUUCCAGACACAAAUGAGAGAACACCUCACUCUGACUAUUUUACUCGCCCUAGCAGAGCUGAUUGGGUUGUUUACCUGUUAUCUAGAGCGUUCGUGACUAACUCUUACUUUGUUUGCCUUUGUUUACUGGCACCGGUCAUAUUCAGCCAUUUGUAAAUUCAUCAGUUGUUCCGAGAGUAAUCUGAAAUCAGAGUAGAUAGCCAGAGUGAAUUUGCGAACGCAAGAGAUAUGCUAACUGUAUAACAGUUCAAGUUCUUGCUAACUAACAAAAUGACACCUGCAUCUCUAGCUGUGUAAAGUGUGAUAUAAAAGUAACAUAUUUGCCUGAUUUAUUUGAUAUUAAUAGUUGGGAAUUAAUGCUUAAUAGAUAGGAUAUUUCUGUCCUGUUAGUGUCUGCGUUUUUAUGGUCUCCACUCUAGUUCCCUGCAGCAAAUCUGGAGGCCAGAGAUGGCUUGAGUUGACAAAAUUGAAACGUCUUUCCUACCGGUUACUAAUGUCAUUCUUCUGUGAGCUGCUCCACGUAAAAAAAACUGUUGAGAGCUGCCUGCAGAUGUUAUUCUUCUGAAACUAGGCUGUGUGUGCGGCGCGCAUGUGAAUAUAUUUUUAUUUUAGUCAGUUAAGACCUAAUUCUUAUUCAUGAUGACGGCCGACCGGGGAACAGUGGGUUAACUGCCUUGUUCAGGGGCAGAACUUUUACCCUGUCAGUUCGGGGACUCAUCCAGCAACAUUUCGGUUACUGGCCCAACACUAGGCUACCUGCCGCCACACGUUCUUCGCGAUUAUGUAGGCUACUUUGUGCAUUAUUUAUCUGGGUCAUUGAUAAAUCGUAUACGUCCACUACACUACUUUGAUACGCAUCAAUAGGGAUUAUAAGUGAGUAUAUGCUAUGCCCACUGAAAACAAACUGGAUAUACGGUUUAUACCUGCGUAUACCUUACACUACACCGGCCCUUUUGUGUUUUACAAAAAGUGCACUCUCCUACAUGAGUACGCUGGUAUUACGGUUGAUGUCCUUUCAGAAUCACAAACCUUUCAGAAUCACUGGAGGCCUAUAGGUUUGCCACUGCGCAAACAUAUUGUCUAUAAUUAGGUAUAAAGACUGUUAAGACAUUCAUGUUUCAAGAAAGGAGUAUAUAUAUGUGGCCUGGCGAAGCAGCUCUAUGUGCUGACUGAAUGGAAGCUGAUAAUUAUCAGUUUUUUACUCUGGUCUUGUGUCCGAGACCAGUCAAGACCGAGUACAAACGAGACAGGACUGAGACUCAAUAUGUACUACAACACAGCUGUAGGGUAUAGCCAAAUAAUAUCUGCUGGUAGUCUCUUAUGACAGACAACACCAGCAUGUAUGAGAGAUUUGGUCCUGGGUGCUGAGAUUAAUCUGCAAUGCCUGCUGGUGUUAUGGCAGAGAGGCUGCAGGGGGCUGAGAGCAGAUGGUACUGACAGAUUGUAGCUCACUGUAUGAGGGAGAGAAGGCACCACACACAGGGUAGAGCGAGGCUAUAAACACACAGGGUAGAGCGAGGCUAUAAACACACAGGGUAGAGCGAGGCUAUAAACACAC
ensembl:lncRNA